GAGCAGAGCGCUCAGCUGCAGACCAUGUGUAUAAAGGAAUUUAAGAAGUGAUAAAGAUGACCUACUUAAGAUUGGAUCCUGUGGCAGAUUCUAUUCCCAAAGAUGAUUGCGGCAUUCUCUCUUUUCCCCCCAAGGGCUUUCUACAAUGUGACUUUGACUGUUUUCCUACUGAGAGGUGGGGCAUAUGUUCCCUCCCCUUGAUUCUGGGCAGGUUUUGACUACAAUCGAAGUAACGCUAAGUGAAUUCUGAAGCUUGGGUGUAUGAAGUGGUACAGACUUUGCCUUUUGUUUUUGCCUUGGAACUCAGCCAUCAUAACGGGAGGAGGCCCAAACAGCCUGUGAUGAGUGAGGUGCAAGUGGAAAGGAACUGUGGCCGCCAGCCCUCAGCCUUAGCCAAACUCCCAGCUGCCAGCCAGCAGGAACCUGCCAGCCAUAAGUGAGCCAUCUUGAAAGCGCAUCCUUCAGCCCCAGUCAAGCCAUCUCAGCUGGCGCUGUGUGGCACAAAGAUGAACCAUCCUUGUUCAUCCCUACCUACAAUGCAGCAAAACUACAGUGCGUUGUUCCCAGGUUCACCUCUGGGAUGAGAUCUGGACGAGAAUAAUCAUGCCUGCCCCUUCACCUCUGGCCGCACUCUGAGAAGUGCCAAGAAGGUCAUAUCAAAGACCCAGAGGGGAGAGAUGGAGCUAAGUGGUUCCAAACAUUUAGAGCACGGAAUUGAGCUACUUUUUCAAAAUGGAGAAUGCAGAUACACACAGAGGCACACUGGAAAUGCAAUAGAACAACGGCUGCCAAUUUAAAAGCAGAAGUUAAGAAGAGCAAACCCGAAUGUACAGCGAGAGAGCUUCGGGCUGGAUUGGCUCCCGGCAGAAGCGAGACUGGAAAUCUUGGAUUCUGUUGCCUCUUCUCUCCUCUGUGAUGUGGAAGAAGAUGUCAGCACCUGGGUGUGGACUUGGUCAUUAACGCUUAUUUCCCAACCUUUGCCAAGCUGCCUAACUCCCUGGAGUCUUAGUUUUCUCAUGUGUGGGAGACAAUGUGUUCUUUAUCCUGAAGUCAUUGUGAGGACUGAGUGAGAGGAUGUAUGUGGAAGGAAGCACCAAGCGUGGUUCCUGGUAUAUACUAGGUACUCAAUAAAUGUGGACUAGCGUGAAUAUGAACUCCACUCACUUCGUGCCCCCUCAUGCUGGCUGGUCCCCGGUGCUCUGGGCUUCCCAAGUCAUGGCAGUUUUCCCAAAGUGGCCCCUAAAGUCAUGUCAGUCCUUGGGGCCUCAUUACUUAGGUUUCCUGUGCCAUCUGCUCCCUUCCAGUCAUAGAUUCCAUGCUCUGUUCUGACAGAAGCUUGCUUCUGCUGGCUGUCACACUUAAAAAGUGGCGGAUGACCAUUCGAGCGUUAGAUGAUAAUGAUUUAUGAACACCAUCCCUCCAGACAGCAUUUGCAGUAUUACAAGUUUUGCUUUUAUUUUAUUUGUCACUAGGAAGGCACUGAGAACAAAAGGAAACUCUCUCGAAUGGUGGGAUCGAGGCACUGUAGCACAUUUUUUAUGGAGGGGAAGGAGGCUUUUCGCCUGGAAACCUUUCAAAUCACGCCCUAUAAGUAGCUCACGAGUCUCUCUACUCACACUGAUCUCUUCAUCUGCUGAGUUGAACAGUGUCCCCCAAAUUCAUGGCCACCCGGGACCUGUGAAUGUGACCUUAUUUGGAAAUAGGGUCAUUGCAGAUAUACUCAAAUUAAGACGAGGCCAUAUUGGAUUAGGGGGAGCCCUAAAUUCAAUAUGACUGGAGUCUUUAUAAGAAGAGGAAAAUUUGGCCACAGAGAUAUAGACCUACGGGGUAUCAGGCCCUGUGAAGACAGAGUCAGACAUUGGAACGAGGUGUCAAGUCAAGGAUCAACAAGGAUUGCUGACAACCAGCGCAAGACGGAAGAGGCAAGGAAGGACUCUUCCUUAGAGACUUCAGAAGGAACAGGCCCUGCCAACACCUUGACUGUGGACUUCUAGCCUCCAGAACUUUGAGGGAAUAAAUUUCUGUUGUUUCAAGCUGCCCAGUCUGUGGUGCCCCAGGAAACUAACACUGUGACUCAGCAGGCUGUUUGCUGACUGUGCAGGAUUAGCCCAGUGGGUCCGGCAACUGGGAGGGGUCGCAGGGAGAUUUCGAUGGUAGGCAAGUGAUGAUGGAGUGGAGAGCACGAGGUGUGUGCUCUCCAACUGGAGGAAGGGCGUGUGUAGGCUGUGGGGAAGGACAGUAGGACAGAUGUUGCUGAGUGAGUGACUACCUCUGUUUAAAGAGAGAGCGCUUCGCUUUACAAAAGGAAUGCUCUCUUAAAAUACUCCACGUGAGCUAACUUGGCCUUGAAUUUCUAGGAGGGACUGAAGUUCGAAAGGAUCAAUGACAUUUCAAGACACUCUAAGUCUGUUUACAAAACGAAAAAUCUACUCCCCUUCCCAGUUGGGGAUAUUUUUUAUUUUGUAAGUGUCUAUCCUGAUGCUUGUGAAAGUGAGGGCUUCCUGAAAGGCAAGCGAGAGCCCAAGGAGGUUUGGGAGAGUGAAGGGAGGCCGACUUUUUCUCAUUUUUUACAGGGAAAAAAAAAAUCAUACAACUCUGCUAAUUUAAGAAUUUGAGAAUGAUCUCUUUAGACACGAUAAUUUAUUUCUGAAUGUUAAGGAAUGGAAUUUAGCAAGAAGAGCCUAUUGUGUGUCAAAAUAGAGGAGGUCCUUACUCCAUCAUUUGAAAUAGCAGAGAAAAACAUUGUUGUUGAACCAUCUACUCAAUAAACAUUUUCCAAGUGCCUGCUGCAUGGUAGACACUCCAUUGGGCACCCGGGGAGAAAGAUACCAAUAAUCUUGAUCCUGGCCCUCAAUGGCAUUGCGGAGGGGAUACACAGGCUUAUAAAUAUGUAAUAAUAGCAAUACUAAUGCUUCUGAAUGCCCACAAAAUGCCAGGCCCCAGGCCAAAUGCUUUACAGCCAAGAGAGCAUCAUUUAUUCCCCAACAACCCUGGAAGUAGGUUUUGUUACUGGUCCCAUUUUGCAGAUGAGGAAAUAGGCUUGGAGAGGCUGAGAAACUUGUCUAGUGUCAUUCAACUAACGAGGUGGGGAAGCUGCAAUUCACACCUGGGGCUGGGGCCCUAAAGGCUCCCCUCUUCACCACUUUGAGUGGCUGAGAUGUAGGUGUUGCAUGGCCUCAAGAGUCAGACUCCCUGGGAUUGACUCUCAUACCCAUCUGCUGCUAAUUGUGCCCUUGAACACAUUACCUCACUGCUUGGCUCCUCAGAGGAGGCUAAUGGCAGUACCCGCCUUGUAGGGUUGUCGUGAGAACUAAAUGAUCUCAUAUGAGCAAAGUGUUCAAUGCAGCACCUGACACGAUGGGGACCGUCAUGAAACAUCAGUUUUUGUUACUACAUGCUGGUGGGGCUACCGUGGGGGUGUAACCGGAGAGCUGAGGAGCAAGAGGAGCGCCCAGAUGAGGCUCUGCCCCCUCCUGCGUGGAGCUUUGGGUCUGGUCCAGGCUUGGAUCUCUUUUGAGUUCAAAGGGAGACUUGUGUGUGAGGGAAGCUUUGGGACUGUGGGUGGUGGGGGAGGCGAGGAGCAAACACCAGGGGAUUGACUUUCACAGAAUCUCAUUUAAAAAGUGAUAGCUAGUGGUUUCAGUCUAUUUAAGUGUAUUCCGCCAUAGUAUUUGCCAUAUCGACCACAAUCAAGGAGGUGGGAGUGGAGGUGUACAGGAAAGUUCCCUAGGCAAAAGUUCCUCCAGUUUGAGUAGGUUAGGGAAUUAAGGGUCUUUUCCAAAUACAAGUGCAUUUGGGAGCAGUAGGACAGUUGCUUCUGCUAGUUGGGAAUGUUUUACCUCAGAUCAUUUGAACACAUGAGUACCAGCAGAAAGCUGGGUUCUGAGAAAAUGGCAGGUAAAUUUACAGGAUAGGUAAAUUGAUGGGGACUGGGGUGAGUCUAAAGCUACCUGGUCCUGGUGGCAUUUUGAAGUGCAGAGGCUUGAACUUGAAUCGAGGGCUUGGCUAACCCCUAUGGAACCUUCAAACUUUGGCUCAAAUAUCACCUCCUCUAGGAAGCCUUCUCUGAUCCCCCCAGAGCUCCUCAUCUGUGCUCUCCUCCCACAAUCUGAACACCUCGAGUGCCGUGCUCGCGGUCCUUUGUUGGAGUGAUUCCUUGAGGAGGCGGCUCUCUUACUCCACCCCCCGUCGUACUUCUAUCAGCUUGGAAGCAGCACAUGACUGGAAAAACCGCAAACCUUUCUUGGAAGCAAAGUAAACCUGGCUGGCCUGGGUUCAGGAGAGGGAAGAGACAUUGAUUCAUCUUUCCUACCGUCCAAAAAAAGAAGAAGGAGAUCAAUGGAGCUUUGGCAAGAUCCGCUGGGAGGAGAAUCUGCACUGUCAAGGCCAACAGGGCCACCCAUUAUCUCCUUAACACGCUCUUCCAACAUGGUACACAAUGCAGUGGUCGAGAGCGCGGACUCUAGAGUUGGACGGUCCUCUGUUUGAAUCUUAGCUUUGCCACUUACUGGACGUGCCACAUCAGGCCGGGAGGAUCUUGGCAUUUACCCAGAGAAACAUCCUAACUGUCCACAGCGGGGCGUGGUAAAGAACCGACAACGUGUCAGUCACUAGAAGGCGUCUUGGCCCCAGGAAAGCUAAGUAUUUGGAUGAUGAGGCAUAGAGUGGAUUUGGGCUUAUGUCUUUCAUCACUUGGCUGAGUCCUUUGUCAGAUGAAAAGGCAGCAGCUGAGGGCAUUAGUGAAACAAUCGUCGGCCUAAGCUCCCUGUGAGAGCUGCAGACUCAGGUGCAGAGGGCUGGCGGUCCAGGUGUGGGCUGGCUACGGCGGCAGCGAGCCUCAUCAACAUAGACCCACUGUGCUCGGAGUCCAUCUCCCGCUGGCCGUGGCCAAGAUGCAUCCUGGCUGCAUGCAGCCCCAGGGAAGGAUCCUCCAAAAGCAACAGGCCUUGGUCAGCAGUGAGCCAAGGAGGGACAAGCGAAGCAAAGAGGCCCCGGCAGGCCCCUGGUGACAGGGUUAUCUGGAGAGUCACUGACACGUCUCUAGUUGGCAAGAGCCCUUUAUAGAACAAAGACAAGUGAGGGUGAGGAAGCCACGCCUCAGUGUAUUCACAGACGAAGUCCGGCAUCCUGGUAUCACUUAUGUCAUCAGAAGUGCGUAGAUUCCAGGCUGUAGGGCUGUUUUUGUUCAAUAGGUGGAAACAAAGAUUCAUGAACCAUCUUGAAAUUGUUGCUGAAUUCAGGGGCGGAGGACAAUUUGGACUUCUUAUCCGAAGAUGGAACCCCCUGUUGAUUUUGUGGGCUUGGCUGUCUCAACGGCAGGCAGUGCGGGAGUAGAAGCAAGCCAGCGGCGGUGGCCACACCUCCGCUGGGUCGUGCCUUCGCAGCAGGCAUUCCUGCCAAGGUGGGAAAAUCUGAGAUGCUCCCCAGUGGGUGCAAAUAUGUGGGAGAAAAUUUAAUAGAAUUCCCCCCGGGUCCCUCUGGGAAGCGUGCUUCCUGCCUCCCUCUUUGUUUUGUUCUCAUUUUCAGUUCUUCUCCAUCCAACUAAAGUCUUUAUGUUGUUAAAAACGAAAUUAGAACCAAAAGGAAAAGGGGGAGCAGUUGUGGCCAGAGAUAACACUGAAAAAGGCAGCAAUCGGUGGCAGCAUCAGGUUUCCUAGCCAGAGUCAGAAUCCCUCAAAUAAAGAAGCAGAGAAGUCACCAGCAUCUCUGGUGCCUACAGGUGUGUCGGAGUAAAGCAGGGCUGCAGGCCCACGGAGUGGCCUUGAGCUUCCACCACAGGGGUGCCACUCAGACGCCAGGGACAUCCCAGCCUCCCUCCCCUGAACUCCUCCUCCUCUUCCCCUCCUUCAUGGGGGGUGGAGGAGGGCUGGGGGGCUCUGCUGCCCCCUUAGCACCCACCCCCAUGGUGUGAAUGCUCCCUUCCCCCAUUCUGGAAGGAUUUAUGCUCUUUGGAGGAGCAGGUUUUAAAACCAAAAGGGUUUUGGUGAUGUGUAGAACAAAUAAUGAGACCACAGCCUGCCACUUGGUGGAGGCUGGUGUGCUCCACACUUGUUGGCCAACGGGCUGGGGGGUGCAGUGGAGGCUCUGCCUGGGUCCUAAGUGAGUGAAGUAACCUCAGAGGAGUGAGGACCAAAGGGUAUACUGAGGUUUCCCUCACCAAGAGGCAAGUUCUGCAGGGUGAGGCCCUGGCUAAAACCUCUGAAACCCGUGGCGAGGCCUCGAAUUGGAGAGGCUUUUUCUGGUAGAGAGUUGUCCGGCCCACUCGAAUGGGCUCUGUCCAAAAGCCAUCUGAGCACUUGCUUUAAUGCUGACGUAAGGAAGUGAUUAUGACUGGAAACUUGAACUUGGAAUGUGGCCUCUUCAGGCCCUGGGGUACUUCUAGUGCCCCUUACUGGGUAAAAUGGGCUUUCCCAGCUUCAUGGGCAGCCCCACUGUGGAGUGGGGAGAGAAUGUAGCUGGGAAGCGUGAGUGGUAGGCCCAGCUCCGUCGGUCACCACGGUCGGUCACCACCAUGUGACUUGGGACAACUUCACUCAGCAUCUCAGGGCCUCAUAUGAGCCUCUCAACUCUUUCCACCUCACGAAAUUUUAUGUAAUCAAGUGUGUUAUUAAUUUGGUGUACUUCUUUUGCCAUAGUUUAUGUAGACGGGAAGUAGAGUUGUGCUAAAAAGAAACCCAGCGAAGCCAAAACACGCAUACACAAAACCCCUUGGCAUCUCGCAGUUGAGUUUCACUUGUCAGAAAGUGCUGCUAAAGGACAGCUUGAUUUUUCUUUAUGCAGCUUGUCUGCAAAUGGCACUUGAACUAAAAUAUUCCCUUUCAUCUUUGUGACAGAAAUAUGAUUCAGUAAUUCUUUGCAAAAAUGUAGAUGAUACGCCGUGGUUACAGUGAGUUAGGUUUAAGUGGGAAAUGCCUACUGAUAAAGACCUGAUUAAAGACACAAUAGCAGUGGGAGGUCAUUAUAGUAAUUACAGUCCCGGCUUUAUUGUUGAGGCCCGGUGCUGAAUUGUGGCAGCACAUUAUCGCUACAUAGGGUCUUGGUUUGAUGAGGUGGUGAUCCAAUUCAGUGUACUUAAACUUUCAUUUGCCAUGGGAUUGGUGCUUUUUGUGAAUGCCCUGGUUCCACUUUAUUUUAGUGUAGACUUUGUGCCUUAUUUAAAAUAUGAGAGAAUAAAUCAGUAAUCUCAUAUGGGGUGCUCUGUUUCAUCUUUCUCUGGACACAUAUUAGACUGGUGUCAGUGGUAUGUGGAGGACUGUGAAGGUGCCCUGGAACUUUUUCAUGGCAGCUUCUCUAUGAGCCUUAUCCUGGGGAAUUCUGAGACCUCGGAGAGCAAAAUGGUGUGACCCCAGCAACGUACUCUUUGCCUGGGAUGGGGCGAUGGGUGGUGCAGUGUGAACGCCUGGAAUAGCCUGCCCUUGGGGUGGUUGUGAGAGGUGUCAAGCUGUUUUCUCCCAUUUCUGAACGAGGAAGCAGAGCUCUCAGCACCUCCCACGGGUCUCUGCCCCCAGGUUUCUCCAGAGUGCUUUUAUGUUACAUUGAGGGCACUGCUCUAAGCCAGAUCCCGCCAGAAUGACUUUGUGGUUUUAAGGACAACUCCUUCCCCAGACUUACAGGAGAGGGGCAGGUCUUGAGAUGGGUUUCGUGGCAUAUGGGUUAAAAUGUUGGUAUCAAAGGACAAGAGUCACUAGCAGUUUGCCCAUGUGGUUAAGAAUAUCGUUAGUUAUCUCCUUUGAAUAUCAUAAUAUUACUAGGUUAGGCAUGAAGGGACAGCAAAAUGGCAAUCUUCUCUGAAAGCAGAAUGGUAGUUGCCAGUGGCUGAGGGGAGGGCGAAAUGGGGAGUUACUGUUUAAUGGGUACAGAAUUUCCAUUUGGGGUGAUGAAAAAGUUCUGGAGACGAAUAGUGGUGAUGGUUGCACAACAACGUGAAUGUACUUACGCCACUGAACUGUACACUUAAAAGUGACGAAGAGGGUAAAUUUUAUGUUCUGUAUAUUUCACCACAGUUUUAGAAAAUACCAGUUUUCUGUCUCUCAGAAGUCUGGGAUGAGUAGUUUGUUCAUUAUUAAACAUUCUGUUCACCAGUUGAAGUUGUAGAAGGUUUUAUCCUUUUUCCUAGAGUCACUCUUUUUUUCUGCCUCUGCGUCCAGAUGUUAGCUUGUUUAAUAAUUCUUUAAUAGGCAUUUCUGCCCCUGACCAGGGCUAGUGAGCUGUAUGGAUCAAACCAGAAGAGAUUCAUGGGGUGGGAUUUUAGGAUAUCCAGAAAAUAUACCUCAGAAUAUCUUCCCCUUAUCCUGUUGCUGAUGCUGGAAAUUGUCCCAGUAGCACUUAAUUCCUUUGGGUUACUUUAAAAACUAUGGAUACCUUUAACAUGAACUGUAGUAUAGCCAGGAAGGGGCUCCUUGAUCCUCUCUUAGAAGUCCUAGGUCAUCAAGGCUCAGAUAAAAUGAAAUGAGAUCCCUACAUGUCCUCCUCAGGUCCUGCAUCCUGACACUUCUUGGGCUUCUUGGCUGGUUCCUGACUUUGGUUGUUGGUUUAGACUCUGACUGUUGGCUGCUCCAUUUAGCUAUUCACCACUCCCAGCCUACUGGUUGGAACUAACAUUAGCUUUGCCUGAUUGACUUGUGUGCUGCCUCCUGGACUAUCCUUGAUAUGUGGCUGCAUCUCUUCUGGCAUCUACCUCCAGUGUCCCAGGCUUGGGUUUUGCCACAUUUCACCAGUAUUCAGGGUCUUGUUUUAAAAUGUCAAUAAUCCUCAAGGAGUGGCUCCUCUGCCUUGAACCCUCCAAGGGAUUAAGUUCCAGAAGGGAAAGUAUUGAACCUUUUGGUGAAAGGUGGGACUAGGAUAGUUUGGUGGGGGAGAGAAAUAUUCAAUAAUUAGGGACUUCAACACCUCACUCUCAGCAACUGGUAGAACUAGUAGACAAAAGAUCAACAAGGAUAUUGAAAAAGGAUACUGAACAAACCAUCAAACAGUAGGAUCUAAUUAACAUUUAUGGAACACUUCAUCCAACAAUAGCAGAAUAUACAUUUUUUUCAAGCACCCAUGGAAUAUUCACAAAGAUAGACCAUAUGCUGGGUCAUAAAACAAAGUUUGCCAAAUUUAAAAGAAUUGAAAUUAUAUAGAGUGUGUUCUCAGACCAUAAUGGAGUCAGACUAGAAAUCAAUAACAGGAAGACAACAGGAAAAUCUCCAAAUGCUUGGAAAUUAAACAAUACAGUUCUAAAUACUCCAUGGGCAAAAGAGGAAACCUCAAAGGAAAUUUUGAAACAUACAUAGAACUGAAUAAAAAUAUCAUAACACAUAAAGAGCACAUCAAAUAUUUGUGGAAGGUAGCGCUGAGGGGGAAUUUGUAACACUAAAUGCUAUAUCGGAAAAGAGGAAAGAUCUCAAAUCAAUCAUCAAAGUUUCUAUCUCAAGAAACUGGAAAAAGAAGAGCAAAACAAACCCAAAGCAAACAGAAGGAAUGAAGUAAUAAAGGGCAGAAAUUAAAAACAGGAAAACAGUAGAGAAAAUUAAUGAAACAAAAGUUAGUUAUUCAAGAGAAAUCAGUGAAAUUGAUAAAUCUCUAGCACGUUAGACAAAGAUGAAAGAAGAGGAAAUACACAAAUCACCAAUAUCAGGAAUGAAACAGAGGGAUCACAACAGAUUCCGUAGCUAGCAAAAGGAUAAGAGCAGAAUGUUACAAGCAACUUCGUGCUCAGAAAUUGCAAACGUAGAAGAAAUGGACUAAUUCCUCAAAAACCGCAAGCUACCAAAACUCAGACAAGAUUAAAUGGAUAACUGAAAUAGUCCUUUUACAAUUUAAAAAUGGAAUUUGUAAUGAAAUAGCUACCAAAAAAGAAGAGAUGGUUUUACUGGGAGAAUUUAUCAAGCAUUCAAAGAAGAAUUAGUACCAAUUUUACAGAUCUCUUGCAGAAAGUAGAAGAGGAGGGGAUACUUUCCAACUCAUUUUUAUGAGGUGAGUUGUUAUCCUGGUUCCAAAACCAGAAGACAGCACACAAAAAAGGAAACUAUAGACCAAUACCUCUCAUGAACUUAUAUGCCAAAAUCUUCAACAAAAUUUUAGCAAAUCAAAUCCAACACUGUAUAAAAAGACUAAUAGACUGUGACCAAGUGAUAUUUAUUGAGGCAUGCAAGGCUGAUUGAAUAUUUAAAAAUGAAUCAAUGUAGUCCACCUGUUCAACAUCAUAUGAUAAUAUCAGUAGAGGCAGAAGAAACAUUUGACAUAAUUUAACACCUAUUUAUGAGAAAAACUCUCGGAAUACUAGAAUAGACAGGAAUUUCUCCAAACUCUUAAAAACUCUACAGCUAGCAUCAUACUUACUGGUGAAGGACUGAAUACUUUCCCUCUAAGACAGAACAAGACAAGGAUGUCUGCUCUCACUACUCUGAUUCAAUAUAGUACUGGCAGUUCGAGCUACCGUGACAAGGCAGGAACAAGAAAUAAAAGGUAUACAGAUUGGCAAAGAAGAGAUAAAACUGUCUCUAUUUGCAGAGAGCACAAUUGUCUACAUAGAGAAUCCCAAGGAAUCUACAAAAAAACUUCUAGAGCUAAGCAAGUUCCAUAAAGUAAAGGAUACAAAAUCAACACGCCAAAAUCAAUUGCAUUUCUUUAUAUUGACGAUAGACCAAAAUAAAAAAUACAGGAAUAGUUACAAUUGCUGCAAAAAAUGAAGUACUUAGGUAUAAAUUUAACAAAAUGUGCAGACUCUGUAUCCUGAAAAUUACAAAAUGCUGAUGAAAGAAGCUCUAAAUAUUUGCAGAGCCAUCAUGGGGAUUGGAAGACUCAACAGAAUAAAGAUGUCAACUCUCUAAAUCGAGCUGUAGGUUUAACGUCAUUCUUACCAAAAUCUCAGCAAAGGUUUCUGUAGACAUAGAAAAUCUUGUGCUAAAAUUCAUGUGGAAAGGGAAAGGCUUUAUAACAGUCAGAACAAAUUUGAAAAAGAAGAAUAAAGUGAGAGAAGGUAUUCUUCCUGAUGUUAAGUCUUGUUAUGCAGCCACAAUAAUCAGGAUAGCGCAGUAUUCGCAGAAGGAUAGAUACACAGAUCGAUGGAACAGAGUAGAGAACCCAGAAAUAAAUCCACACAAAUAUGCUCAAUUAACUAUUGACAAAGGAGCCAGAGCAAUCCAAUGGAGGAGGGAUAGCCUUUUCAAUAAAUAGUGCUGGGGCAAUUGGAUAUCCAAAGGCAAAAAACUGGCUCUCAAUCAAAAUCUCACACCUUGUACAUAAAUUAACUCAAAUGGAUCGCGGACUUAAAUGUGAAACAUAAAACUAGAAAAAAACAAAAAAAGGAAAUGCUUGUGACCUUGAACUAAGCAAAGAGUUCCUAGACUUGACAUCAAAAGCAUAAUUCAUAAAAGGAAAAAUGGGACCUUAUUAAAAUUAAAAAUUUUACUUUGUGAAACACUCUGUUAAGAGAAACGAGAAGAAAAAUUGCAGACUGGGAGAAAAUAUUUGCAAGUCACAUAUCUGACAAAGGACUUGCAUCUAGAAUAUAUAAAGUACUCUCAAAGUUCAACAUUAAAAAACCAAACAAUCUAAUUAGAAAAUGGGAAAACGACGUGAAUGAACAUUUAUGAAGAGGUGGUUCAGGUGACAAACACAUGAAAAGUGUUUAAUAUCAUUAAGCAUUAGAGAUGCAGAUUAAAAUCACAAGACAUCACUAUACACCUCCAAGAAUGGCUAAAAUAAAAAAUAGUGAUAAUACCAAAGGCUGGCAAGAUUGUAAAGAAACUGGAUCACUCAUAUAUUGUUAGUGGGAAUUAAGAUUAUACAACUACCCCAGAAAAUAGUUUGGCCAUUUCUUAAGAAACUAAACAUGCAAUUACAAUACGACCUAGUUAUUGUGCUCUCGGGCUUUUAUCUCAGAGAAACGAAAACUAUGUUCACUCAGAAACUUGUACAGGAAUGUUCAUAGCAGCUUUGUUAAUAGCUCCAAACUGGAAACCACACAAAUGUCCUUCAACGAGUGACUGGUUAAACAAACUGUGGUACAUUCAUACCAUGGAAUACUACUCAGAAAUAAAAAGAAAUGAACUACUGAUAUACACAACAACUUGGGUGAGCCUCAAGGAAAUUAAGCUGAGUAAAAAAAAAGGCCAAUUCCAAAAGGUCGCAUACUAUGUGAUUCCAUUUAUAAAACAUUCAUAAAGCAACAGUUAUAGAGAUAUAGUGGUUGCCAGGGGUUAGGGAUGUCAGGGUGGAGAGAAGGAGGAGGCGAGUGUAGCUAUAAAGGGGUAGCAUGAAGGAAUCUUGUGAUGAUGGAAC
ensembl:lncRNA